AACGCGAAGAACCUUACCUGGGUUAGACAACGUCAGACAGUCCCAGAGAUGGGAUUUCCCCUUCGGGGGCUGGCGGUAUAGGUGCUGCAUGGCUGUCGUCAGCUCGUAUCGUGAGAUGUCGGGUUAAGUCCCUUAACGAGCGCAACCCUUGUCCCUAGUUGCCACCAUUUAGUUGGGCACUCUAGGGAGACUGCCGGUGUUAAACCGGAGGAAGGUGGGGAUGACGUCAAGUCCUCAUGGCCCUUAUGUCCAGGGCUACACACGUGCUACAAUGGCCGGUACAAAGGGUUGCCAACCCGCGAGGGGGAGCUAAUCUCAUAAAGCCGGUCUCAGUUCGGAUUGAAGUCUGCAACUCGACUUCAUGAAGCUGGAAUCGCUAGUAAUCGCGGAUCAGAACGCCGCGGUGAAUACGUUCCCGGGCCUUGUACACACCGCUCGUC
rnacentral:rRNA from 1 species